GGGGCUGUGGCGGAACUGGUAGACGCAGGGGAUUCAAAAUCCCCCGGAGCAAUCCUUGAGAGUUCGAGUCUCUCUAGCCCUACCA
rnacentral:tRNA from 1 species